GUGCUUUAGGGAUGAACGGGUCACUUAUAUGUAAUAUCCAUCUAUCAUUUUGUCAGUUGCCUUUUUGGGUGGCAUGCUGAUCAUUAUAAGAUGGAAAUCGG